GGCGUAAGAGCUCGUAGCGGCUUGUCCGUCGGGUGUGAAGCCCGGGGCUUAACCCCGGGUCUGCAUUCGAUACGGGCUAGCUAGAGUGUGGUAGGGGAGAUCGGAAUUCCUGGUGUAGCGGUGAAAUGCGCAGAUAUCAGGAGGAACACCGGUGGCGAAGGCGGAUCUCUGGGCCAUUACUGACGCUGAGGAGCGAAAGCGUGGGGAGCGAACAGGAUUAGAUACCCUGGUAGUCCACGCCGUAAACGGUGGGAACUAGGUGUUGGCGACAUUCCACGUCGUCGGUGCCGCAGCUAACGCAUUAAGUUCCCCGCCUGGGGAGUACGGCCGCAAGGCUAAAACUCAAAGGAAUUGACGGGGGCCCGCACAAGCAGCGGAGCAUGUGGCUUAAUUCGACGCAACGCGAAGAACCUUACCAAGGCUUGACAUACGCCGGAAAGCAUCAGAGAUGGUGCCCCCCUUGUGGUCGGUGUACAGGUGGUGCAUGGCUGU
rnacentral:rRNA from 1 species